rnacentral:rRNA from 1 species
UACGUAGGGGGCGAGCGUUGUCCGGAUUUAUUGGGCGUAAAGAGCUCGUAGGUGGUUCGCUAAGUCGGAUGUGAAAUCUCCAAGCUCAACUUGGAGCGGUCAUUCGAUACUGGCGUGACUUGAGUACGGUAGGGGACCACGGAAUUCCUGGUGUAGCGGUGAAAUGCACAGAUAUCAGGAGGAACACCCGUGGCUAAGGCGGCUCUCUAGUACGGUACUGACGCUGAGACGCGAAAGCGUGGGGAGCGAACAGG